CAACUCAAGCUUCAAUUUGUUUUCUUCAGUUUCGGCUGCUUCGUCCUCCGAGUUCGGCACCGAAAAAAUACCCAACCCGCCUAGGAGCUCGUCCAGCCGCCUAGAGCCCGCCUAGCCGCCUAGGCCGAUUUUUUGAACACUGCGAUUGCCUGAAAGUCUGAAACCCGAAAUUGAAAAAAUUUAGCUGCAAAUUUGAGCUUGAGAUUGAGAUUGGGAAGCCCAAGUCAGUUCCAUAGAAGAAGAGAUCAUGAGAGUCUUAAUUCAUCUAUUCCGUUCCUCUCCCUGUUUCCCGCCUUAUUCUCUUCUCUCUUGGCUCUCACCCAAACAACAUGUUCACCUCACCACACCAACGACGACAAUUCCUCCCUCUGCCAACUCCGCCUUAUUCUCUUCUCUCUUCGCAUUGACGACAUGGCGCAGAAGAAAAAAAUACAAAAUUUGCUGAGUUGGUGUCUGUCUUCAGUGGAAGGAAAUGAUGAAGCUAUCCUAUGAUGGAGUUUCUAUGGUCUUGCCAAUAACAAGGAUGAAAGUGAAGUUUUCUUUAGGAUCAAAAGAAGUACAAAGCUACAGAAACUGGUUGAUGCUUUGUAUACCACGUUCCCUGGAUCCUGAAUCAUUAAUAAUUUUGUUUGAGAACGACCACAUUCACAAGCACAAGACUGCUGAGGAGAUUUGCACAAACUGCGUUGGAGAUUCCCACAAACUGCAUUGCAGUUUCCACAAAAUGCAUUGCAGUUUUCGUUUCCGUUUAAUUACAUUGGGCUACGUUAAUUGGAUAUUGGUAUGAUUUUUUAAGUUAAUUUGAUAGUUUGUUUAUUUAUUUACUUAUGUUUUAGUUAGAUUGUAGAUUGGUCAUUGUUUUGUCGUCGUUCUUUAGCGUCUUUGUGUUUAUGUUAUGUUUUGUUAUGGAAUAAUAAUUGUAUCAUAGUUUCUGUUUUUGAAUUCA